rnacentral:lncRNA from 1 species
UUGUUUAUCUGUAAUCACCAUGGAAAGACCUUCAUAAUGAUAUACUUGUUCUAGAUUUCUGGAAAAAAAUUCUGGAAAGUAGUUACUGUUCAUCUUCUUCUUCGUGAAGAAGAUGAAGAUCUUCAUGUUAGCGUCCACAGCUUCCAUGUUAGCGUCCAUUCUGGUUUUUGUACAUGCUGGCCUAGGGUUUUGUUUGUAUUGGUCCACGUUAUUGCCUCGCUAGCAUUUCCAUUGGUUCACAUUAGUCUG